UACCACUGUCCAUUCCAUUCUCCUGGAGAAGAUGGCUGCUCAUGGCCUGGCAGGUGUACCUUCCACUAGAUAAAAAAUUGGAUGGCUGAGCCCUGGGAGUGGUGUUGAAAGGAGUGAAAUCCAUUUGACAGCCAAAUACAAGUGGGGCUCCCCAGGGCUCACUAUUGGGGUCUCACUGCUUUCUCAUUGAUAUGAAGCAGCAGAAAAAGCCAAUCGGUCUGAAAUUUUUUCAGAGGCCACAAGAAGGUUCAGGACACUGAUUCCCAUUGAACUUGGCUGAAACAGUGAAUGCUUGAAGUCUGAAGCAUAAAAGCUCUGAAGGUCUCACACCAAGAAGAGGAAGGAACACACAAAACAGACUAUUGUUGCUGCCCUUUGAACUGUGUCACUGAGACUGGUUUCAGAGCAACGUAGCCUUAGUCACCUGCUUUUUGUCUGUGGAAACAGAGAUUGAUUAUGACUUGAUUAAGUUACCUGACCUAUCUUGCAGGGGAUCGGAUUGAUCUACUAGAAUAAAUCUUUCAAGAAUGA